AGCGAACGCUGGCGGCAGGCCUAACACAUGCAAGUCGAACGAACCCUUCGGGGUUAGUGGCGGACGGGUGAGUAACACGUGGGAACGUGCCUUUAGGUUCGGAAUAACUCAGGGCAACUUGUGCUAAUACCGCAUGUGCCCUUCGGGGGAAAGAUUUAUCGCCUUUAGAGCGGCCCGCGUCUGAUUAGAUAGUUGGUGAGGUAAUGGCUCACCAAGGCUACGAUCAGUAGCUGGUCUGAGAGGAUGACCAGCCACAUUGGGACUGAGACACGGCCCAAACUCCUACGGGAGGCAGCAGUGGGGAAUCUUGCGCAAUGGGCGAAAGCCUGACGCAGCCAUGCCGCGUGGAUGAUGAAGGUCUUAGGAUUGUAAAAUCCUUUCACCGGUGAAGAUAAUGACUGUAGCCGGAGAAGAAGCCCCGGCUAACUUCGUGCCAGCCGCCGCCGUAAAAC
rnacentral:rRNA from 1 species